ACAAUAUAUAAACUUUGAAUUAACACAAUCUCGUGUUUCUUCGGUAUCAUCAUCUGAGUUGUCUUGGUGUACGUAACAAAAACAACAACAAAACAUUGUUGAACGAUUGUUGACUUGGGUAUUGUACGAAUAUUGCGAGCGAUAAAUUAAUUUUAGAAAAAUUAAAAAUGAAAAUAUAAUUAAACGGUCGAACCGCACGAACGGUUGAAAUACACAAAUUGAGUUGACCGCAUUAUAAUCUUUUGAUCGGCAAAAAAAAAAUUGCAUGUAAGACAGACAGGUCAUUAGCAAUCCACCGUAUUGUUCCACAUCUUCAAUGGUUCGGCAAA